UACGGAGGAUGCGAGCGUUAUCCGGAUUUAUUGGGUUUAAAGGGUGCGUAGGCGGCCGAGUAAGUCAGCGGUGAAAUUUUGCAGCUUAACUGUAACAGUGCCUUGAUACUGCAUGGCUAGGAUUUGGUUGCUGUGGGCGGAAUGUGUGAUGUAGCGGUGAAAUGCUUAGAUAUCACACAGAAUAUCAAUUGCGAAGGCAGCUCACAAAGCCAAGAUUGACGCUGAGGCACGAAAGUGUGGGAAU
rnacentral:rRNA from 1 species